GACAGAGGGUGCAAGCGUUGUUCGGAAUCAUUGGGCGUAAAGCGCACGUAGGCGGUCUUGUGCGUCAGAUGUGAAAGCCCUGGGCUUAACCCAGGAAGUGCAUCUGAUACGGCAAGACUUGAGUCUCGGAGAGGAUGGUGGAAUUCCUGGUGUAGAGGUGAAAUUCGUAGAUAUCAGGAGGAACACCGGUGGCGAAGGCGACCAUCUGGACGAAGACUGACGCUGAGGUGCGAAAGCGUGGGGAGCAAACAGG
rnacentral:rRNA from 1 species